rnacentral:tRNA from 1 species
GGGCCGUUAGCUCAGGUGGUAGAGCACCGGAUUUUUAAUCCGGGGGUCGCAGGUUCGAAUCCUGCACGGCCCA